rnacentral:misc_RNA from 1 species
UCGUGAACUGGUUCACGUGGUGCAGGCGAAUCGAACGGACCUUGUAGCAAGGGUGCAGGCAGGAGGAAAUGCGGAAAACAAAGCUAGCUGGUUGUGAAAGGCGGUUCUGAAUUUCAUGACAAAGUUGCAGGGAUGCCGAAGCGUGUGGCCAUCGACAGAAAAUCGGAACGCAUGCAUUUUUACAGACGGAGGAAUUCAGCUUUGGAUUCAUGUGCAGCACAUGGCCUCUCAUGUUCUCACUGCCCAGCAGUCGACAUUGCCAUGCUUUCGUGCUGUAUCAUCACCUACACUCACACACAUCACAUCUGCUGUUAGUGUACCUGUCAGCCUUUCCUACAAACGGGCAAGCCACUUUUCGAAAAGGAAGCACAUGGUGCAUGCCAGCUGUGCAAAUAGCUGCAUAUACAUGCAGCCUACUGCUCUGGCCGCGCUUUUCACGGAAACCUUGGUGUCCUUGGCGGAACCACGUGGCUUCAGGGGAGCACCUUAGCAAGGUGACAGCGUUCGCGAAGAAGAGAAACCGAUAAAAAAACAACAACAAACCAAAGAAAUAAAUAACUGUGGGUGAAAGGAGA